rnacentral:rRNA from 1 species
AAAAAUGUUAGAUUGACUAACCUAUUUGAGCCAAAACUCUAGCCCAUAACACUAUCACAAAUUUCUAACCACAUUAAACAAACCAUUUGACACGAUCAGUAAAGGCGAUUAAACAUCAACUUACGGAGCAACAGACACAGUACCGCAAGGGAAACAUGAAAAAACAAUGAAACACUAAAGCCAAACAAAGCAGGGACCAACCCCCGUACCUAUUGCAUCACGGUCUAGCAAGAACCACACAGACAUGGAGCACCAGCCUGUGCCCCCGAAAUCAAGUGAGCUACCUUAGAGCAACCACAUAGGGUAAACCCGUCCCUGUAGCAAAAGGGUGGGAAGACUCCAAGGUAGCAGUGAAAAGCCUACCGAACUUGAUGAUAGCUGGUUGCCUGAUAAAUGAACAUAAGUUCAACCCUAAAUUAUACACUAACACACCCUAGUAGACACUUAAUAUAGGAUUUAGUCAAUGGGGGUACAGCCCCAUUGACCCGGGAUACAACCCGAAGUAAAGAGCCAGCACUCAAUCACCCACCAGUAGGCCUUAAAGCAGCCAUCAAAAACAUUGCGUCACAGCAUGGACAAAAAAAUACCACACAUACAACCAACCUCUUACAAACACAUCAGAGCUACUCUAUAAAAAUAUAGAAGAACUAAUGCUAGAACUAGUAACAAGAAUUUAUCUCUAUGCACAACUGUAAAUCAGUUAGCAGAAAACCUACUGAAAAUUAACAGCCUAAUACACUCACCUUAACAAACAUUAACUACCACUGUUAAACCGACACAGGAGUGCUAAAAAGAAAGAUUAACAGUUAAAGAAGGAACUCGGCAAAUCACAUCCCAACUGUUUACCAAAAACAUAGCCUUUAGCUAUAUUAGUAUUAAAGGUGACGCCUGCCCAGUGAACAAUUUUUAACGGCCGCGGUAUCCUAACCGUGCAAAGGUAGCGUAAUCACUUGUCCCUUAAAUAGGGACCAGUAUGAACGGCUAAAUGAGGAUAUAUCUGUCUCCUUUAACAAAUCAGUGAAACUGAUCCACCAGUACAAAAGCUGGUAUAAACCCAUUAGACGAGAAGACCCUGUGGAGCUUUAAAUUUAAACCAAACAAUCCAGCACAAUAUACCAGNNNNNNNNNNAAAAUUUUAAGUUGGGGCGACUUCGGAAAAAAACAAAACUUCCGAGCAUAAGACAUAUGUCUUAACCAAGACCAACAAGUCAAAGAUAAAACUUGAUCCAGUACAACUGAUAACCGAACCAAGUUACCCCAGGGAUAACAGCGCAAUCUUCUUCAAGAGUCCCCAUCGACAAGAAGGUUUACGACCUCGAUGUUGGAUCAGGACACCCAAAUGGUGCAGCCGCUAUUAAACAAUCCAGGUCGGUUUCUAUCUAUGUAGUUGCUUUCUUUAGUACGAAAGGACCAAGAAAGCAGGACCAAUACUAAUAGCAAGUCCUAAAUACAAAGCUGAGUACAACUCAAGCCAAUCAACACAACAUUAGAACACCUCAAAAUAAGAGGCUUA